UACGUAGGGGGCUAGCGUUGUUCGGAAUUACUGGGCGUAAAGCGCUCGUAGGCGGCUUUCUAAGUCGGGGGUGAAAUCCUGGAGCUCAACUCCAGAACUGCCUUCGAUACUGGAGAGCUCGAGUCCGGGAGAGGUGAGUGGAACUGCGAGUGUAGAGGUGAAAUUCGUAGAUAUUCGCAAGAACACCAGUGGCGAAGGCGGCUCACUGGCCCGGUACUGACGCUGAGGUGCGAAAGCGUGGGGAGCAAACAGG
rnacentral:rRNA from 1 species